rnacentral:rRNA from 1 species
CCAAUAGCGUAUAUUAAAGUUGUUGCAGUUAAAAAGCUCGUAGUUGAAUUUCGGGGUUAGUAAGUUGGUCGUGCCUAUGGUAUGUACUGGCUUUACUGAUUCCUCCUUCUUGAAGAACUGUAAUGUCAUUAAUUUGGUGUUGCAGGGAAACAAGACUGUUACUUUGAAAAAAUUAGAGUGUUUAAAGCAGGCUAACGCUUGAAUACAUUAGCAUGGAAUAAUGAAAUAGGACGUUUGAUCCUAUUUUGUUGGUUUCUAGGAUUGACGUAAUGAUUAAUAGGGAUAGUUGGGGGCAUUAGUAUUCAAUUGUCAGAGGUGAAAUUCUUGGAUUUAUUGAAGACUAACUACUGCGAAAGCAUUUGCCAAGGAUGUUUUCAUUAAUCAAGAACGAAAGUUAGGGGAUCGAAGACGAUCAGAUACCGUCGUAGUCUUAACCAUAAACUAUGCCGACUAGGGAUCGGAUGAUGUUAAUUUUUUAAUGACUCAUUCGGCGCCUUACG